UACGGGAGGCAGCAGGGGGGAAUAUUGGACAAUGGGGGCAACCAUGAUCCAGCCAUGCCGCGUGUGUGAUAACGGCCUUAGGGAUGUAAAGCACUUUCAGCAGUGAAGAUAAUGACAUUAACUGCAGAAGAAGCCCCGGCUAACUUCGUGCCAGCAGCCGCGGUAAUACGAAGGGGGCUAGGGUUGUUCGGAAUCACUGGGCGUAAAGCGUACGUAGGCGGACUGAUAAGUUAGGGGUGAAAUCCCAAGGCUCAACCUUGGAAGUGCCUUUAAUACUGUAAGUCUUGAGAUCGAGAGAGGUGAGUGGAAAUCCGAGUGUAGAGGUGAAAUUCGUAGAUAUUCGGAAGAACACCAGUGGCGAAGGCGGCUCACUGGCUAGAUACGGACGGUGAGGUACGAAAGCGUGGGGAGCAAACAGGAUUAGAUACC
rnacentral:rRNA from 1 species